UACGUAGGGGGCGAGCGUUGUCCGGAGUUACUGGGCGUAAAGCGCACGCAGGCGGUCUGUUAAGUUUGGAGUGACAGUUGGUGGCUUAACUGCCAAAGUUCUUCGAAAACUGACAGACUUGAGGGCUUCAGAGGGACACGGAAUUCCGGGUGGAGUGGUGAAAUGCGUAGAGAUCCGGAGGAACACCAAAGGCGAAGGCAGUGUCCUGGGGAGUACCUGACGCUCAGGUGCGAAAGCCAGGGGAGCGAACGGG
rnacentral:rRNA from 1 species